rnacentral:rRNA from 1 species
UACGUAGGGUGCAAGCGUUGUCCGGAAUUAUUGGGCGUAAAGAGCUCGUAGGCGGUUUGUCGCGUCGGAUGUGAAAACCUUGAGGCUCAACCUCAGGCCUGCAUUCGAUACGGGCAAACUAGAGUUUGGUAGGGGAGACUGGAAUUCCUGGUGUAGCGGUGGAAUGCGCAGAUAUCAGGAGGAACACCAAUGGCGAAGGCAGGUCUCUGGGCCAAUACUGACACUGAGGAGCGAAAGUCUGGGGAGCGAACAGG